rnacentral:rRNA from 1 species
GACAGAGGGUGCAAACGUUGUUCGGAAUUACUGGGCGUAAAGCGUGUGUAGGCGGCCACGCACGUCAGGUGUGAAAGCCCCGGGCUCAACCCGGGAAGUGCACUUGAAACUGCAUGGCUCGAGUAUCGGAGAGGUUGGUGGAAUUCUCGGUGUAGAGGUGAAAUUCGUAGAUAUCGAGAGGAACACCGGUGGCGAAGGCGGCCAACUGGACGAAUACUGACGCUGAGACACGAAAGCGUGGGGAGCAAACAGG